GAACUGAUGGGACGUCACUUUGAUUUCUUUCCAAUUUUUGGUUUUCGUUUUCGAUUUUUAUGGAAUGGAAUGGUUGUCGAGUGUGAUGCUUUCUGGGUUUGGUUUAUAGCUUAGGGUUUCCGAAUCGGAUCUCCGGCAAUUUGAAUCUCGGACGAUGAACCACUAUCACAUACACGAAGCAGUGGGACAUGGAAAUACUCGAUAAUUUACAAUCUCCUUUACCAUUUCCCUAUAAUCUUUGUUUUGGAGUUUUGUUAUUGAAUUUUCUGUACAAAUCGAUUCAUAUUUCUUCACAGAUCAUGUAUAAAGGAAGGAAGACAGAGAAGAUCGAAUAUUUGUCUUUCAAUAGCGUUUAAAGGUUCUUCAAAGGGUUUAUGGAAGGGAGUUAUGUCUCGAACAAAUUAAGAACGCAAAUGUAUCUUUAACUCUGCCAGAAGCCAAUCUUGAAGAAGUACCACCGCCGGCGGUAGUGGAAUCUGAAGCAAUAGAUUCAAUCUCUAAUGGGGUUGCAACGGAUUCUAAUGAGGAAACUGAAACUCUACAACCUCUUAAAAUGUACUUCAAUCCGAGUGAGUAUACAAAGCCAUUCAAGAUUUCAACAAAGUGCUAUAUUCAUAAGGGAGUGGGCUUAUUGGAGACUCAUCUUAAAGGCAAGGAGUUGAAAUGGUUCAGAGAACACCCAUUGUUCCGACACUUCUUCCACAUGCACAGGCAGGGGCAGAGCUAGCUUAUAAUUAAGGGGGUCAUAUGACACCUAUGAAAAUUGAAAAUUUGGUGUAAUUUUGUUAAAAAAAAUCUAUAUAAACUCCAGCUCCAUUAACAUAUUGACCCCUAUAAAAUCAUUUUCUUACGUUUUGACCCCUAUAAAUCAAUUUCCUACC